UGACUAGGGAAUUGAGGGACUUUUGGAAUUUAUGUCCUACUUUCAUGCCCAGAAAAGAAAAUGUCUGGCGCUGGAUUCUGAUAUCUGAAGGAGACCUGACCAAAUUGCCCUGUGUUCUCCUGGGACUCAGAUGCCUCUGAGACCCCAAAGAAGCUUCUUAAAACACCUGUGCAGAAAUCCUCUCCCAGUGGCUCCCUCAGAUAAUUCCACACCACCUGCCUGCUGCCCGGGAUUCUUUACAGCAGUUGAGGUACAGAAAGAGGAUCUAGAGAGAAUCUGAUGAGCAGAACUGGAAGACUGUGGAAGUGCUAAGGACCAGAAGACUCUCUGAGGAAUGAGACUUAAGAGCAGAAGUCUUGCCACCUGCUUGCAGGAUGAGGGAAUAAUAAUAACACCAGUCACGGGAUCCUGUCGCACUGUAUCCAUUGAGGCUCUUCAAGUGAGCCCGACCAUGGCGCCAAAAUCCCCAGGA